rnacentral:lncRNA from 1 species
CCGCCUCGUGUCUGGGCCGGGUGCACGAUGCCCGCGGUGCUGGGGAAACCCGGCCGGACCAGCUUCUGCGAUGGGCGGCGGGGCGGCCCCAGCGUCCCAUGGCCUCGGUGGACCGGUUCCCAGGCACCCGAAGGGGACUGGGGUCUGUACCUGGAGUAGAACAGAAAAAUUAUUAUGUCUGUGUUCCCUUGGGACUCAUUGGAAAUUGUACAGUGACAUCUUCUGGGAUUUAGUCUGGAU